UAACACUCUUGCAGUGAGAGAAGACAGGCUGCUCUCUGUCCCAGCCCAGAGCUGAGGGCGGCGCCCCACAAGACGGCCUCCUGGGAGGAUCACUCGCCUUCUUGCAAGGAUCUUUUACUGCCUCUUCUCAUCAGGAUGGGGAUGCGAAAGGACCCUUGCCUACAACUGUCUUGUUUGUUCAUUUGCAUGGAUGGGACAGAAUCUACCUAAUCUGGACCAACACAUUGUGACUGGAGUCUCCAAAACUAUAGGAAUGUUCUACAGGCUUUCAGGAUCGCUCAUCCAUCUGGACCCUGGUGACAACGUUCUUGGAAAACAAAGAGCGGGAAGCAUUAUGUCAUGUGGAGAAAGCCUGGGAUGACUGAUGAGCCCAUGUGGUGCUGGCCUUCACCCAUUCAGGUCUCUUGGAUUCUUUCCAGCAUCUGCACCAGCUCCCCAGGGCUGUAUCUACCUUGUAGUGUUCUACAACGAUCAACACAGGCAACGUCAAGCAUAAGUACAGCUGUAACUCCCCUGAAGUGAGCCCAAGCUGGGGGCUCAUCAUUCACAGCCAGGAUUCUGUUACUCUGUGUUUCAGAACCCGGUUCUGUAAGUGCCCCAGGCUGAUGAAUGUGUCUUUCUUGAGCACAGUAAAGUUGCCAUCUCAGAGUC